CCUACGGGAGGCAGCAGUGAGGAAUAUUGGUCAAUGGGCGCGAGCCUGAACCAGCCAAGUAGCGUGAAGGAUGACUGCCCUACGGGUUGUAAACCUCUUUUAUAAAGGAAUAAAGUGAGGCACGUGUGCCUUUUUGUAUGUACUUUAUGAAUAAGGAUCGGCUAACUCCGUGCCAGCAGCCGCGGUAAUACGGAGGAUCCGAGCGUUAUCCGGAUUUAUUGGGUUUAAAGGGUGCGUAGGUGGUUUGUUAAGUCAGUUGUGAAAGUUUGCGGCUUAAACGUAAAAUUGCAGUUGAUACUGGCAGACUUGAGUACAGUCGAGGUAGGCGGAAUUAGUGGUGUAGCGGUGAAAUGCUUAGAUAUCACGUAGAACUCCGAUUGCGAAGGCAGCUCACUGGACUGCAACUGACACUGAGGCACGAGAGUGUGGGUAGCAAACAGGAUUAGAUACCCUAGUAGUC
rnacentral:rRNA from 1 species